rnacentral:rRNA from 1 species
CGCGUAGGCGGCCUGGUAAGUCAGAUGUGAAAGCCCGGGGCUUAACCCCGGAAGUGCAUUUGAUACUGUCAGGCUUGAGUAUGGGAGAGGGAAGUGGAAUUCCUGGUGUAGAGGUGAAAUUCGUAGAUAUCAGGAGGAACACCGGUGGCGAAGGCGACUUCCUGGACCAAUACUGACGCUGAGGUGCGAAGGCGUGGGUAGCAAACAGGAUUAGAUACCCUGGUAGUCC